rnacentral:tRNA from 1 species
GGCUUUGAAGUAUGUGUUACGUUGAAUUGCAAAUUCGAAGGAGUAGUUAUAGUGAACUGCCAGAGCUU